GUGGGGAAUAUUGGGCAAUGGGCGAAAGCCUGACCCAGCAACGCCGCGUGAAGGAAGAAGGUUUUCGGAUCGUAAACUUCUAUCCUUGGUGAAGAUAAUGACGGUAGCCAAGAAGGAAGCCCCGGCUAACUACGUGCCAGCAGCCGCGGUAAUACGUAGGGGGCAAGCGUUGUCCGGAAUGAUUGGGCGUAAAGGGCGCGUAGGCGGCCUGGUAAGUCUGGAGUGAAAGUCCUGCUGUUAAGGUGGGAAUUGCUUUGGAUACUGUCGGGCUUGAGUGCAGGAGAGGUAAGUGGAAUUCCCGGUGUAGCGGUGAAAUGCGUAGAGAUCGGGAGGAACACCAGUGGCGAAGGCGACUUACUGGACUGUAACUGACGCUGAGGCGCGAAAGUGUGGGGAGCAAACAGGAUUAGAUACCCCGGUAGUCC
rnacentral:rRNA from 1 species